GCCUGGGUGGCUCAGUUGGUUAAGCAUCUGACUCUUGAGUUUGGCUCAGGUCAUAAUCUCAGUUUGUGAGAUCAAGCCCCACCUCGGGCU
rnacentral:tRNA from 1 species